GGCGGCGUAGCUCAGCUGGUUAGAGCACAGCACUCAUAAGGCUGGGGUCAGUGGUUCGAGUCCACUCGCCGCUA
rnacentral:tRNA from 1 species